UACGUAGGGGGCAAGCGUUGUCCGGAAUCAUUGGGCGUAAAGAGCGUGUAGGCGGCCUGAUAAGUCGGCUGUGAAAGUCAAGGGCUCAACCCUUGAAUGCCGGCCGAUACUGUCAGGCUAGAGUCCGGAAGAGGCGAGUGGAAUUCCUGGUGUAGCGGUGAAAUGCGCAGAUAUCAGGAGGAACACCUACGGCGAAGGCAGCUCGCUGGGACGGUACUGACGCUGAGACGCGAAAGCGUGGGGAGCGAACAGG
rnacentral:rRNA from 1 species